GAAAUUACUUUAUGGAAGCUUCAUUUUCUGAUAUUAAAUAACGUGGUUUUGAGAGCUUCUGUCAGAAGGAUGUCUUGUUCCCUGGGUAGGAGGUGUCUGAGGCUGAUUUACUCAAACGUUCUCACCAGCAGUCCUGCAGGAGGGCUUCUCCCUUUGGAACUGGGCUGCUCGAAAUGGUGAAAAGGAAGUUCUGUAUCUAGGCAUCCUCCAUGUCUCAGGUGAAACGUUUCAGUGGUUUUCUUGCUGUGUCCCAUGUGCCUAGCAUCUGAGCAAGAGGAGGAUACGCGAAUUGUACCAUGGAACACGGAACUGGGUGUGUGGCUUUGUUUUCUGGGCAAAGAUCUGUGGUUUGGCCGUACGUGAGAUGAGUUGCAAUGCUCGUGUGCAAAAGCACUCAAGAUCUGAAGGAGGAAAGAAUCAUAAAGAAGCGCGCCCCAUUGACUCCAGCAACGCCUUUCACUGGGAAUUUCUUGCUCGGGAGGUCCAGCUGCAGCCAGGUGUCGGAUCACACCAUCAAAUACAUCAUUCAUCUGACUGGCUAAAUGCCGUGAUACAUAGGCAUUUCAGACUUCUAUUGACUGAGCAUUACGGUACCGUGAACCAUGUCUAAGGAGCAAUCGGCUGAGUCCUGACCAAGGCCUGUCUUCCUUGUGGUGGGGGAGUUACUUGCCUUCCAACAAAGCAUUCAAAUGAGAUGCUAGUAAAACUUGUGAUGACAGGGGCGUUUCUUUGAAUUAUGUGUUCUGCUCUUUGUCCGUUUUACUGUUGCUCUUAAUUUUGGCAUCCCUGGUUGAUCGUAAUUGGUGGAUGCAAGGCAGGAGGCUGUUGGCUGUAUCACGUUAAGUGAAGCAAUCCCAGUAGAGAUCAGGGGAGUUCUGCUAACGAUCUGGGACUUCUCUACACAUAAAGUUGCAAUGCUUUUCACUAGUCUUGAGGAUGCAGCAGUGCACAUGUAACAGGUAAUGGCCGGUAGCGAUGCAAAUAGAGGAUGGCCGGGGAAUACAGUCCAUUCUGUAACUCCACCCAAAGUAUGAUUUUCCAAGAGAUUGUUACGCCCCAGUGACAGAUGUGGAUGUUCUUUCUGCACUCCCUGCUGGAGCAGCUUGUGAAGCAUAAGAACAGAUGCAAGUGAUAGGAACCAAACAAAAAGACCAGAAUUUUCACCAGAAUGCUUCCACUGUGAGGUUACCCUAAGUGGUGAACAGACUUGCUCAGUCUCUGCAGAAGAGAUUAAUUUUGCCCCAGUGAAAAGAACUGUGGCAGGUGUGUCUCGCCCAGACACUGCUCUGGUUAUCUCAUGAGGAAAUCUAUUUUUACCUGUAUAAAUCUACUGUUUUUCCUUAAUGCAUGUUAAAUUGUUUUGCCACCUUGAUUUCCCUAGGUAAGUUAGAUGAUAUAAAGAAGCCAUUUUAUUUCACACCAAAGUAGGCUGCCUUUCAGCUUCAGUAUAGUCAGUUUAGCCGUAGGUGUGCAUUGGAAGGACCUUUCCUACUGGAUUGUAACAUCAGAGACAUAGCAGAUUUCAUGCUAAAGCACCCCAGGUUAUCUUGGAACUGAAGUUUUUCUGAUGGAAGGCAUAAGGAAUGUGCAGUAAGAAGACAUAAAAUUUCAAUUAGAUUUCCGUUCCUGACUAUUUCCCAGAGGCUAGA